AGUCUAAAUGUACUGAAAAUCAAAAAAGUUCUUUGAAAAGUAGAUAAACAACGUAAAUUCUCAAAAUAAUGAAGA
rnacentral:rRNA from 1 species